rnacentral:rRNA from 1 species
ACGAACGCUGGCGGCGCGCUUAACACAUGCAAGUCGAGCGAGAACCGGUCCUUCGGGACCGGGGAAAGCGGCGAACGGGUGAGUAACACGUGGGUAAUCAACCCUCGACACUGGGAUAGCCCGGGGAAACCCGGAUUAAUACCGGAUGGCCCAGCAGCUCUUCGGGGCGGUUGGAAAAGGUAGCUUCGGCCUCCGGUCGAGGACGAGCCCGCGGCGGAUUAGCUUGUUGGUGGGGUAAUGGCCUACCAAGGCGACGAUCCGUAGCUGGUCUGAGAGGACGAUCAGCCACACUGGGACUGAGACACGGCCCAGACUCCUACGGGAGGCAGCAGUGGGGAAUCUUGCGCAAUGGGCGAAAGCCUGACGCAGCGACGCCGCGUGAGGGAAGAAGGCUUUCGGGUUGUAAACCUCUUUCAGGUGGGACGAAGCCACUCGGGUGAAUAGCCCAGAGGGUGACGGUACCUCCAGAAGAAGCCCCGGCUAACUACGUGCCAGCCGCCGCCGUAACAC